GACGAAGGGGGCUAGCGUUGUUCGGAAUCACUGGGCGUAAAGCGCACGUAGGCGGAUUUGUCAGUCAGGGGUGAAAUCCCGGGGCUCAACCUCGGAACUGCCUUUGAUACAGCAAGUCUUGAGUUCGAGAGAGGUGGGUGGAAUUCCUAGUGUAGAGGUGAAAUUCGUAGAUAUUAGGAAGAACACCGGUGGCGAAGGCGGCCCACUGGCUCGAUACUGACGCUCAGGCGCGACAGCGUGGGGAUCAAACAGG
rnacentral:rRNA from 1 species